rnacentral:rRNA from 1 species
AGAGUUUGAUCCUGGCUCAGGAUGAACGCUAGCUACAGGCUUAACACAUGCAAGUCGGAGGGGAAACGACAUCGAAAGCUUGCUUUUGUAUGGGCGUCGACCGGCGCACGGGUGAGUAACGCGUAUCCAACCUCGCCCACCACUUGGGAUAACCUUGCGAAAGUAAGACUAAUACCCAAUGAUAUCUCUAGAAAACAUCUGAAAGAGAUUAAAGAUUUAUCGGUGAUGGAUGGGGAUGCGUCUGAUUAGCUUGUUGGCGGGGUAACGGCCCACCAAGGCAACGAUCAGUAGGGGUUCUGAGAGGAAGGUCCCCCACAUUGGAACUGAGACACGGUCCAAACUCCUACGGGAGGCAGCA